rnacentral:tRNA from 1 species
GCGAGCGUGGCGGAACUGGUAGACGCGCUAGACUUAGGAUCUAGUACCUUAUGGUGUGGGGGUUCAAGUCCCUUCGCUCGCA